GGAGAAAAGCAGGGGAUCGCAAGACCUUGCGCUUUUGGAGCGGCCGAUGUCUGAUUAGCUUGUUGGUGAGGUAAAAGCUUACCAAGGCUUCGAUCAGUAGCUGGUCUGAGAGGACGACCAGCCACACUGGGACUGAGACACGGCCCAGACUCCUACGGGGGGCAGCAGUGGGGAAUUUUGGACAAUGGGGGCAACCCUGAUCCAGCCAUGCCGCGUGAGUGAAGAAGGCCUUCGGGUUGUAAAGCUCUUUCAGCCGGAACGAAACGGUUACGGUUAAUACCCGUGACUACUGACGGUACCGGAAGAAGAAGCACCGGCUAACUACGUGCCAGCAGCCGCGGUAAUACGUAGGGUGCGAGCGUUAAUCGGAAUUACUGGGCGUAAAGCGUGCGCAGGUGGUUUUGUAAGUCAGAUGUGAAAUCCCCGGGCUUAACCUGGGAACUGCGUUUGAAACUACAAGGCUAGAGUGUGGCAGAGGGGGGUGGAAUUCCGCGUGUAGCAGUGAAAUGCGUAGAGAUGUGGAGGAACACCGAUGGCGAAGGCAGCCCCCUGGGUCAACACUGACGCUCAGGCACGAAAGCAUGGGGAGCAAACAGGAUUAGAUACCCUGGUAGUCCAUGCCCUAAACGAUGUCAACUAGUUGUCGGGCCUUUACGGGCUUGGUAACGUAGCUAACGCGUGAAGUUGACCGCCUGGGGAGUACGAUCGCAAGAUUAAAACUCAAAGGAAUUGACGGGGACCCGCACAAGCGGUGGAUUAUGUGGAUUAAUUCGAUGCAACGCGAAAAACCUUACCUACCCUUGACAUGUAUCGAAGCUCGCAGAGAAGUGAGUGUGCCCGAAAGGGAACGAUAACACAGGUGCUGCAUGGCUGUCGUCAGCUCGUGUCGUGAGAUGUUGGGUUAAGUCCCGCAACGAGCGCAACCCUUGUCAUUAAUUGCCAUCAUUUAGUUGGGCACUUUAAUGAGACUGCCGGUGACAAACCGGAGGAAGGUGGGGAUGACGUCAAGUCCUCAUGGCCCUUAUGGGUAGGGCUUCACACGUAAUACAAUGGCG
rnacentral:rRNA from 1 species